UGCAGCCCCAUCAAAUUCAGUCCCUGCCCCCUCCACGGCCAGGAUUGGCCUUCCGGCUGCCACAGCAGUGCUGUAGUGCCCCGCAUCCCUUCCCCUGGGACCUUGGGGGCAAAAUGGUGCCACAGACACAC
ensembl:snoRNA